UACGGGGGGGGCAAGCGUUGUUCGGAAUUACUGGGCGUAAAGGGCUCGUAGGCGGCCAACUAAGUCGGAUGUGAAAUCCCUCGGCUUAACCGGGGAACUGCAUCUGAUACUGGAUGGCUUGAGUUCGGGAGAGGGAUGCGGAAUUCCAGGUGUAGCGGUGAAAUGCGUAGAUAUCUGGAGGAACACCGGUGGCGAAGGCGGCAUCCUGGACCGACACUGACGCUGAGGAGCGAAAGCCAGGGGAGCAAACGGG
rnacentral:rRNA from 1 species